UGUUUUCUUCUUCUCAGUGUAAGUGAGAAACUUUAAGCUUUUUUCUUCCCUUAGUUUACU
rnacentral:tRNA from 1 species